AAGAAAGAAUGGGGAACCUGCUGAGGA
rnacentral:piRNA from 1 species